rnacentral:rRNA from 1 species
AGUGAACGCUGGCGGCGUGCUUAACACAUGCAAGUCGAACGAGAACGGAUUAUAGCUUGCUAUAAUUGUCAGCUAAGUGGCGCACGGGUGAGUAAUGUAUAGGUAAUAUGCCUCUUACUAAGGGAUAACAAAUGGAAACGUUUGCUAAUACCUUAUACUCCUUAUUAACAUAAGUUAAUAAGGGAAAGAUUUAUUGGUAAGAGAUUAGCCUGUAUUGUAUCAGUUAGUUGGUGGGGUAAUGGCUUACCAAGACUAUGACACAUAACUGGUUUGGGAGGAUGAUCAGUCACACUGGAACUGAGACACGGUCCAGACUCCUACGGGAGGCAGCAGUGGGGAAUAUUGCGCAAUGGACGAAAGUCUGAUGCAGCAACGCCGCGUGGAGGAUGACACAUUUCGGUGCGUAAACUCCUUUUAUAUGAGAAGAUAAUGACGGUAUUAUAUGAAUAAGCACCGGCUAACUCCGUGCCAGCCGCCGCUGUAA